rnacentral:lncRNA from 1 species
GCGCCUGCAGUUGCCACCGGCCCCCUCGCACCGACUUGAUUUCCGAAUACCUGCACCCUAAGCAGUUCAGAGUUGGCUUCUGUUUUCCGUUAGCGCUUUGCUGCACGGACAAAUGCAUACAAAUGCAUUUAAGAGCCCACAGAACAAGGCGUGGAAAAGUCUCCCCCACGGCAAAAACGAAAUCACUUCUUCAUUUUAUUGUACUAUGUGUGGCUGGGGUGGUUGUUCAUGCACAAGAACAAGGCAUAGAUAUUCUUCAUCAACUAGGCCUUGGAGGCAAAGACGUAAGACACUCAUCACCAGCGACUGCUGUACCAUCAGCAUCUACACCGUUACCUCAGGGGGUCCAUUUAACAGAAUCAGGAG